rnacentral:rRNA from 1 species
UACGUAGGAGACGAGCGUUGUCCGGAAUUACUGGGCGUAAAGCGCGUGUAGGCGGUUGGGCAAGUCUGCUGUGAAAGCUCCUGGCUUAACCGGGAGUAGUCGGUGGAAACUGCCAAUCUGGAGGACGGUAGAGGUAGGUAGAAUUCCCGGUGUAGUGGUGAAAUGCGUAGAGAUCGGGAGGAAUACCUGUGGCGAAGGCGGCCUACUGGGCCGGACCUGACGCUGAGACGCGAAGGCGUGGGGAGCGAACAGG